AUUGAACGCUGGCGGCAUGCCUUACACAUGCAAGUCGAACGGUAACGGGCCUUCGGGUGCCGACGAGUGGCGAACGGGUGAGUAAUACAUCGGAACGUGCCCGAUCGUGGGGGAUAACGAGGCGAAAGCUUUGCUAAUACCGCAUACGAUCUACGGAUGAAAGCAGGGGACCGCAAGGCCUUGCGCGGACGGAGCGGCCGAUGGCAGAUUAGGUAGUUGGUGGGAUAAAAGCUUACCAAGCCGACGAUCUGUAGCUGGUCUGAGAGGAUGAUCAGCCACACUGGGACUGAGACACGACCCAGACUCCUACGGGAGGCAGCAGUGGGGAAUUUUGGACAAUGGGCGCAAGCCUGAUCCAGCCAUGCCGCGUGCAGGAUGAAGGCCUUCGGGUUGUAAACUGCCUUUGUACGGAACGAAAAGCCUUCUUUUAAUACAGGAGGGUCAUGACGGUACCGUAAGAAUAAGCACCGGCUAACUACGUG
rnacentral:rRNA from 1 species